UGUUGGUCAGUAUAAGCUUCCCUGC
rnacentral:piRNA from 1 species